GACGAACGCUGGCGGCGUGCUUAACACAUGCAAGUCGAACGGAAAGGCCCUGCUUUUGUGGGGUGCUCGAGUGGCGAACGGGUGAGUAACACGUGAGUAACCUGCCCUUGACUUUGGGAUAACUUCAGGAAACUGGGGCUAAUACCGGAUAGGAGCUCCUGCUGCAUGGUGGGGGUUGGAAAGUUUCGGCGGUUGGGGAUGGACUCGCGGCUUAUCAGCUUGUUGGUGGGGUAGUGGCUUACCAAGGCUUUGACGGGUAGCCGGCCUGAGAGGGUGACCGGCAACAUUGGGACGGGGAUACGGCCCAGACUCCUACGGGAGGCAGCAGUGGGGAAUAUUGCACAAUGGGCGGAAGCCUGAUGCAGCAACGCCGCGUGCGGGAUGACGGCCUUCGGGUUGUAAACCGCUUUCGCCUGUGACGAAGCGUGAGUGACGGUAAUGGGUAAAGAAGCACCGGCUAACUACGUG
rnacentral:rRNA from 1 species